rnacentral:lncRNA from 1 species
CGGCGGUCGGCCCGCGCUCGGCGGGGCGGGGCCCCUCGCUGCGAGCACAAACUGGGCACCUGCGACUGAAAAAAAGCGAUUUUAACCGCAGCUCGGCGUCUCCCCCCAUUUARAGGGCCAAGUAGCAGUUCAGCCAUUGUGUGCAAAAGCCUACAAGAAUAUAUGAUGCUGGCUGGCAAGGGAGUAUUGCUGCAGAACCAGCAAAGCAAAAUGGUUGCUGAAACAUCCAUUAUCCACCAAAGGACAAGCUAUUGAUACAUUUUUGUACCCAAAAGACAGCAAUAUAAUGAUACUAUUUCAGUUGAUUGUAUUAAAAUAUAUGUAAUUAUUCUGUCCAUGAAUGUUGAUUUUGGAAGAGUUUGUGCCUAAAUCUACAGCUUUCUGAAAUAUUUGAUACUUUGUUCUCCAAGUAAAAUUGUUUUAGCCACUUAUGUCAGCUUCCAUGUCUUCUGUAAUACCUGGAUUGAUACAUUUUCAAGGCAUAAAUGUAUCUCAUAAUUAGAACAGUUCAGUAGUGCGCUUAGCUAUUUAGAUCGUUGGAUCAAAAUCUGAUGUGAUAGUAGAAUAAAUAAUAAUCAAGACAAAGUCUUUCA